CNGGCGGUUUGAUAAGUCUGAAGUUAAAGGCUGUGGCUCAACCNUAGUUCGCUUUGGAAACUGUCAAACUUGAGUGCAGAAGGGGAGAGUGGAAUUCCAUGUGUAGCGGUGAAAUGCGUAGAUAUAUGGAGGAACACCGGUGGCGAAAGCGGCUCUCUGGUCUGUAACUGACGCUGAGGCUCGAAAGCGUGGGGAGCGAACAGGAUUAGAUACCCUGGUAGUCCACGCCGUAAACGAUGAGUGCUAGGUGUUGGGUCCUUUCCGGGAUUCAGUGCCGCAGCUAACGCAUUAAGCACUCCGCCUGGGGAGUACGACCGCAAGGUUGAAACUCAAAGGAAUUGACGGGGGCCCGCACAAGCGGUGGAGCAUGUGGUUUAAUUCGAAGCAACGCGAAGAACCUUACCAGGUCUUGACAUCCCGAUGCUAUUUCUAGAGAUAGGAAGUUACUUCGGUACAUCGGUGACAGGUGGUGCAUGGUCGUCGUCAGCUCGUGUCGUGAGAUGUUGGGUUAAGUCCCGCAACGAGCGCAACUCCUAUUGUUAGUUGCCAUCAUUCAGUUGGGCACUCUAGCGAGACUGCCGGUAAUAAACCGGAGGAAGGUGGGGAUGACGUCAAAUCAUCAUGCCCCUUAUGACCUGGGCUACACACGUGCUACAAUGGUUGGUACAACGAGUUGCGAGUCGGUGACGGCGAGCUAAUCUCUUAAAGCCAAUCUCAGUUCGGAUUGUAGGCUGCAACUCGCCUACAUGAAGUCGGAAUCGCUAGUAAUCGCGGAUCAGCACGCCGCGGUGAAUACGUUCCCGGGCCUUGUACACACCGCCCGUCACACCACGAGAGUUUGUAACACCCGAAGUCGGUGAGGUANCCUUA
rnacentral:rRNA from 1 species